GAUGAGCGCUGGCGGCGUGCCUAAUACAUGCAAGUCGAGCGAACGGACGAGAAGCUUGCUUCUCUGAUGUUAGCGGCGGACGGGUGAGUAACACGUGGAUAACCUACCUAUAAGACUGGGAUAACUUCGGGAAACCGGAGCUAAUACCGGAUAAUAUUUUGAACCGCAUGGUUCAAAAGUGAAAGACGGUCUUGCUGUCACUUAUAGAUGGAUCCGCGCUGCAUUAGCUAGUUGGUAAGGUAACGGCUUACCAAGGCAACGAUGCAUAGACGACCUGAGAGGGUGAUCGGCCACACUGGAACUGAGACACGGUCCAGACUCCUACGGGAGGCAGCAGUAGGGAAUCUUCCGCAAUGGGCGAAAGCCUGACGGAGCAACGCCGCGUGAGUGAUGAAGGUCUUCGGAUCGUAAAACUCUGUUAUUAGGGAAGAACAUAUGUGUAAGUAACUGUGCACAUCUUGACGGUACCUAAUCAGAAAGCCACGGCUAACUACGUG
rnacentral:rRNA from 1 species